UGGCUCAGUGGUAAAGAAUCUGCCUGCAAUGCAGGAGACCCAGGUUUGAUCCCUGG
rfam:TPA: Bos taurus chromosome 9, whole genome shotgun sequence.